AGGUGCUGGAGUAACAAUCACUUCGCGCAUGCUCACAGUCUCCAGGUGGGCGGUGUUUUCCUUUCCGCUCAGUGCUGAAGCGGAUCAUCUGCGGGAUCGGGAAAGGGUCCUCGCCUCCUGGGUCGGGGAGCCGGGGGUCGGGAUCACUCUGCGGGCCGAAGAUAUCAGUUUUCCCAGCGUUAGACCUGCGGUGAGAGAUUUAUUGGAAGGAAAACCCCAACUGGAAGCAAACCACGACUGAAGACGAGGGAACAGCAACAAGUGAACCAGCCCGAGGAUUGAGAGCAUCAACUGGAGAGAACCCAUCUGACUCGGAGAUUCCAGUGAUUCAGUCAGGAGAAAGUUAGAUCUGGGCUGAGAGAUUUAUUGGAAGAAAAGCCCACAACUGGAAGAAAACCACAACUGAAGAUGAGGGAACAGCAACAAUGAACCAGCCCGAGGACUGAGAGCACCAACCGGAGAGAACUCUUCUGAAUCACAGUUUCCAUUGAUUCACUCAGGAGAAAGUUUGGGCAUCACCAGCAGGUGGGGCUGUCCUGCACCGGGACCAAAGUGUACACAAGACGACGACAAUCAACAAUCAGUCAGAAUCAGAAUGGCUACAGGUGGGUUUUGGUUAUGGAAAGUAUUCGGGAGGUUUUCACGAGGCCGCUCAUCGAGGGGAGAUGAUCGGGACACGGGAAACAAGGUACCAGAGCAGGGUCAGAUUGAGAGCAAUGUCCCAAUGGAAUGCGGUCCGGCCGCAGCGGAAGUGGAGCAAAUUCAGCCCAGAGACAGUGACGACAGAGACACUGAUCAGGACCCUGGAACCGGUACAAGUGAGGCGACUGUCUGUCAGCUCGGAAGUUCAUUAAAUACGGAUUUGUCAAGUCCCCAGCAAGGAACGGAUCCCAAACAUACAAUCUCAGAUGUCCUGGCACAGUUCGACGAUUAUCAACUGCUCUAUCUGACAAAUUUCUACAGGAAGGGACUGAAACCUGCAAUGGAAGAAGGAAUAGAAGGACUCAGCUUGAAGUUGAGACAGGAGCGACAUUUUAGUGAACUUGAACACGAGAAAGUCACUCAGCUCGUGGAGAGGGGAAACCGGACGGAGAGUUGUACACUCCUCCUCAGUCUGGUGAUGGAGAAAGGCACCCAGGCCCGGAGGCUAUUGUGGGAAUCCUUUGUGGAAAUGAGGAAGCAGUUACCGAAGUUGGAGAAGAUACUGAAGGAAAUCCAGGAACUCGGUCUUGAUCCAUUUGAAAUCACGAAUAUCACCGGAGGCUUUUCUGAGUUAUCCUCGCAACUGAAGGAUGUUCAACAGAAACACAAGGAGACUCUGCGGGCACAAACUGAAACACUGAGAGUCAACAGGAUCCUGAUGAGGGAGAAGGUGAAGGUUUCCCAGCUGGUUGAUCGAUACGCUGAGCUCACGGUCAUUUCUACUGUUCGAGAUCGGAGACUGGUGGAACAUGAGCUGCUGGCAAGAGGCAGAACCCAUGAAAAAUUGAGAAAGAAACAUCUCCAUGUAGAGCUGGAAAAAAUCCGGACGGAUCAGCUGAUCCAAAGCAGCUUUUCCCACAGUAAUUCCAAAGCAGGGAGUUCAGCUGCAGUGGCCGGAGUCGCGGGGAUCGGCAAAACAACAAUGGUACAAAAGAUUGUUUAUGACUGGGCCACGGGGAAAAUAUACCAACAGUUCCAGUUUGUCUUCAGUUUCAAAUUCCGAGAGUUAAACACGAUCAAUUGUAUAAUAAACCUCUCGAACCUGGUGCUGUUUUUCUACCCUUACCUGAGGAAUGUUCUAGAAACACUGUGGAAGAACCCAGAAAGUUUGCUGUUUAUAUUCGAUGGAUUGGAUGAAUACAAGGACGGAAUCGAUUUUGCUGACAGUCGGAGAAACACAGAAUCUCAGUACGCUUGCACGGAUCCUGAAUUCCAGUGCAAGGUGUCUGACAUUGUGUACAGUUUAAUCCAGCACAAGCUUCUCCCAGGGUGUUCAGUGCUGGUGACCACCCGUCCCACUGUGUUACAUUUAUUGGAAAAGGCAGAGAUCAGUGUCUGGGCUGAAAUCCUGGGAUUUGUUGGUGAGGAACGGAAAGAAUAUUUCAUCAAGUAUUUUGAAGAUCAGACGGUGGCAGCAGCUGUUUUCAAACACGUGAAGGAGAACGAGAUCCUGUACACCAUGAGCUACAACCCCUCCUACUGCUGGAUCCUCGCUCUGGCACUGGGCCCCUUCUUCACACGAAGAGUCAGGGACCCGCAGCGAAUUCCCAAGACCAUUACCCAACUAUAUUCCUACUAUAUUUGCAACAUCCUGAAAAACCACGGCCGUGAGCUUGAGAGACCCCAUGAUGUGUUACUCAGGGUAGGUCAGAUGGCCUUCAGAGGAGUGUCCGAGCAGAAGACUGUAUUUACAAGUGAAGAUUUGAUCCACUACAAUCUGCAGCCUUCCCGAUUCCUGAUGGAGCUUUUGGAGAGAGAGGACACUUCCCGGUGUGUGGUGUACACAUUCCCACACCUCACAAUCCAAGAGUUUGUAGCUGCAAUUGCACAAUUCCUGACUCCACAUUCCGGGGAUAUCCUGAAAUUCCUCACCGAAGCCCACAACACGACAGAUGGGCGAUUUGAGGUAUUUCUCCGUUUUGUUGCUGGUCUCUCCAACCCAAUGACAGCUCGGGGCCUGGAGGAGUUUCUGGGUCCAUUUCCCCAUGAAACAACCUGCCGGGUGAUUGACUGGGUGAAGGAGGAGGUUAAACGCCAGAGUGGAAACACGAGGAGUGAAGCUGGUAAAAGGAGCCUCAUGAACACAUUGCACUACCUGUUUGAGUCUCAGAAUCGUGGAUUGGCUCAGGCCACACUGGGAUCUGUGGAAACACUUUCAUUCAUGGGAAUGACACUGACCCCGAUUGAUUGCGCGGUCCUGUCUCAUGUCUUCGGGCUGUGUGGUACAAUAAAACACCUCGACCUGUGGAACUGCCACAUUCAGUGUGAAGGAAUCCAGCGGCUGGGACCCGGGCUGCACAAGUGCCAGGAGUUGGGACUCGGGGAGAAUAAACUAGGAGAUUCAGGAGUGAAACUGGUGUCUGCGGCUCUGAGGAACCCGGAGUGUAAAAUACAGAAACUGUGGCUGGAGAAUGUCGGUCUCACAGAUUCUGGUGCCGAGGAUCUCGUCUCCGCUCUCAGUGCAAACCGAUCACUGACGGAGCUGGAUGUGAACGGAAAUAAACUGCGAAAUUCAGUAGCGAAACUGGUGUCUGCGGCUCUGAGGAACCCGGAGUGUAAAAUACAGAAACUGGUGCUUAUUGACGUCGGUCUCGCAGAUUCUGGUGCCGAGCAUCUCGUCUCUGCUCUCAGUACAAACCGAUCACUGAUGGCGUUGGACCUGAAUAAAAAUAAACUGGGAGAUUCAGGAGUGAAACUGGUGUCUACGGCUCUGAGGAACCCAAAGUGUAAAAUACAGAAACUGGGGUUGAACUGUGUUGGUCUCACAGAUUCUGGUACCGACGAUCUCCUCUCCGCUCUCGUUGCAAACCAGACACUGACGGGGCUGGAUUUGGGAUUGAACUCGCUCACAGACCGAUCAAUCCCCGCUCUCCGCCGCCUCUUACUGACUCGUACGAGUCUGGAGUGGAUCUGGCUGGUGAGAAAUCAGUUCAGUGAGACCGGGAGGAAGAAACUGAGCUCUCUGCAGGAAUCUAGACCUGGACUGAGAGUGAUCCUGUGAACAUCUGAAUUUGCGAACAUCCCCGCCCAGGGGAUGGGGACCUUUGGCCAAUUCGCUGCCCUUCCGUUUAAUCGCCAUGCUCCGGGGUUGAUAGCCAACCAUUCCAACGGACUCCAGCUCCACUCCUUAUCACAGUCAUGAAAUUCCAACGGAACUGCUUCCACCGGAUUCCUGGGUCCGGAUUUCUUCCCAAAGAAGACCCUGGGAAAUUAGGCAGUCAGGAGGCGUCCGGGGGCGAAGCUCAGUUAGGGACAUCAGUCCCUAGAUUGAUUAUCUGGCGAGAAGGUCACUCUGCUGUGGAUGAUACACUCAGCAGUGCAGUCAGUAUAAUGAUAUUAAAUUGACAAAUACCUCAGCAGUGACCCUGGAUCUGCAGCAAUCUCGGACACGGGCCUGAAGUGUGAUUUUAUCAUCAUUGGUUCCCGAUGCAGAGUGACGGUGAUGUAAGGCGGCGUGGAGAGCCUGUGUGAUCGUAGCGGCCGUAGGCUUUGUGGCGAUAGGCCAAGAGUUCAUUCCAGCCAUGACCAACUUUCGCAUCACGACAGCACCGUAUAUGUGAGUGCGACUGGACGAUAGUAAUUCAAGCAGCUCACAUUACUCUUCUUGGGCACCAGUAUAAUUUUUGAUCUUUAGAAGCAGGUGGAACUUACGAAUAUAGCAGUGAGAGAUUGAAAAUGUCUCUGAAUACCGCCAGUUGGUUGGCACAAGUUUUCAGAACCUUACCAGGUACUCAGUCGGGGCCUUCCCCCUUGCGAUGCUUCACUCUCCUGACGACUGCCUCCGGGACAGAUUGCAAGUUCACUGGGUGCUACGGUUAUCAGCAAGAGUGCAGUUUUAUUCUGCCUUUCAAAUCGAGCAUCAGGUGUGUUGAGCUCAUCUGGAACUGAGGCAUCACCGUCACUCGUGACGUUGAGCUGCGCUUUGCAGGAAGUAAUGAUCUGUAAACCCCGCUGGAGUUGGAAUCCUUGGAAUUGUUCUUUCACUCCUGAAAUAGCUCUCUGCAAGUCAUCCCUGCUUUUCUUGUACAGACCUGGUCGCCAGACCUAAGUGGCACAAACCCAGCCCACGGCAGACUGCGAACCUCCUGCUUCAUUCACAGCUUUUGAUUUGCAUAUGUACAGUAAGUACUCAUAGGCAGCCGCUCAUCUACACAGAACCUAAUGAAGUCAGCGUGGCGCACUCAUCCAGACUCGAAGGUGAAGUCCAGAAUACGGACCAGUCCACCUGUUCAAACCAGUCCACCGGUUCAAACCAGUCCUGUUAGAUCUCCUGUCUCUUCCUUGUCCAUGCCUUCUUGGUCUUCAAAUCA